UAACGCGUAGGUAACCUGCCUUGUAGCGGGGGAUAACUAUUGGAAACGAUAGCUAAUACCGCAUAACAAUGAAUGACACAUGUCAUUUAUUUGAAAGGGGCAAUUGCUCCACUACAAGAUGGACCUGCGUUGUAUUAGCUAGUAGGUGAGGUAACGGCUCACCUAGGCGACGAUACAUAGCCGACCUGAGAGGGUGAUCGGCCACACUGGGACUGAGACACGGCCCAGACUCCUACGGGAGGCAGCAGUAGGGAAUCUUCGGCAAUGGGGGCAACCCUGACCGAGCAACGCCGCGUGAGUGAAGAAGGUUUUCGGAUCGUAAAGCUCUGUUGUAAGUCAAGAACGAGUGUGAGAGUGGAAAGUUCACACUGUGACGGUAGCUUACCAGAAAGGGACGGCUAACUACGUGCCAGCAGCCGCGGUAAUACGUAGGUCCCGAGCGUUGUCCGGAUUUAUUGGGCGUAAAGCGAGCGCAGGCGGUUUGAUAAGUCUGAAGUUAAAGGCUGUGGCUCAACCAUAGUUCGCUUUGGAAACUGUCAAACUUGAGUGCAGAAGGGGAGAGUGGAAUUCCAUGUGUAGCGGUGAAAUGCGUAGAUAUAUGGAGGAACACCGGUGGCGAAAGCGGCUCUCUGGUCUGUAACUGACGCUGAGGCUCGAAAGCGUGGGGAGCGAACAGGAUUAGGUACCCUGGUAGUCCACGCCGUAAACGAUGAGUGCUAGGUGU
rnacentral:rRNA from 1 species